AACGAACGCUGGCGGCAGGCUUAACACAUGCAAGUCGAGCGCUGUAGCAAUACAGAGCGGCGCACGGGUGAGCAACACGUGGGAACGUGCCCUAUGGUUCGGAAUAACUCAGGGAAACUUGAGCUAAUACCGGAUAAGCCCUUACGGGGAAAGAUUUAUCGCCAUUGGAGCGGCCCGCGUCCGAUUAGCUUGUUGGUGAGGUAAAAGCUCACCAAGGCGACGAUCGGUAGCNGGUCUGAGAGGACGACCAGCCACACUGGGACUGAGACACGGCCCAGACUCCUACGGGAGGCAGCAGUGGGGAAUCUUGGACAAUGGGGGAAACCCUGAUCCAGCCAUGCCGCGUGAGUGAUGAAGGCCUU
rnacentral:rRNA from 1 species